rnacentral:rRNA from 1 species
CCGGAUUUAUUUUGAACCGCAUGGUUCAAAAGUGAAAGACGGUCUUGCUGUCACUUAUAGAUGGAUCCGCGCUGCAUUAGCUAGUUGGUAAGGUAACGGCUUACCAAGGCAACGAUGCAUAGCCGACCUGAGAGGGUGAUCGGCCACACUGGAACUGAGACACGGUCCAGACUCCUACGGGAGGCAGCAGUAGGGAAUCUUCCGCAAUGGGCGAAAGCCUGACGGAGCAACGCCGCGUGAGUGAUGAAGGUCUUCGGAUCGUAAAACUCUGUUAUUAGGGAAGAACAUAUGUGUAAGUAACUGUGCACAUCUUGACGGUACCUAAUCAGAAAGCCACGGCUAACUACGUGCCAGCAGCCGCGGUAAUACGUAGGUGGCAAGCGUUAUCCGGAAUUAUUGGGCGUAAAGCGCGCGUAGGCGGUUUUUUAAGUCUGAUGUGAAAGCCCACGGCUCAACCGUGGAGGGUCAUUGGAAACUGGAAAACUUGAGUGCAGAAGAGGAAAGUGGAAUUCCAUGUGUAGCGGUGAAAUGCGCAGAGAUAUGGAGGAACACCAGUGGCGAAGGCGACUUUCUGGUCUGUAACUGACGCUGAUGUGCGAAAGCGUGGGGAUCAAACAGGAUUAGAUACCCUGGUAGUCCACGCCGUAAACGAUGAGUGCUAAGUGUUAGGGGGUUUCCUCCCCUUAGUGCUGCAGCUAACGCAUUAAGCACUCCGCCUGGGGAGUACGACCGCAAGGUUGAACUCAAAGGAAUUGACGGGGACCCGCACAACCGUGGGAGCAUGUGGUUUAAUUCGAA